GUCAUUCUCUAGCCAUGAAGGAAGUGUUCACCCACAAGUCUGGAAGAGAAAGUCUGUGGGAGGCAGAGUAGGAAGCAGACCAGGGAAAGAGCACUGAGGUUGUGCAGAACUUGGCCGCUGAUUAUUGGAUAGUGGGUAGGCCCCAGGAUAGUGGAUGGGCCCCAGGUUCUCCUAUCAGACCCGGGGAAGUGCCGUAGUACUGCAGGAGAUGCCAAACUGCUCUGAUACUCUGGAAGCAGGGGGAUACAUAAUGACCUACCUGGAGGGCUGAGUCACAGAGAAAGGCUGCAGGGGAAAUGAAUGGUAGAAGAGGGAACUGGACUGGUUGAGAGCUUCUUCCCCAGAUGCAGCCACAUCACAUCAGUGAAUAGAGAACCCUGUGACACCCCUUCAUUAUUUUUUCAAAAUAAAUAUCUGAUGGGAGGGCAACAGACCCCACAUUGAUAAGGAGGGUUAAUGAGGGCCUCAGGACCCAGCUGUCCCCACCCUUCUGUGCCUGUAGCAGAUGGCAGGUGGGGAGUUAAAAAGAGAUGGGCCUGCUCAGUUUACGGCUAGUCAGGAAGGAGAGCAGAGCUCAGCUUCUCCCUUGGUGAGGGAAGGAGGGCUGCAGCCAAGAAGUGUCCAACAGCUUGCUGCCAUGAUGAGCCUCCUGGUGUACAGGACAACCUGACCGAGGAAGACUGGCUGAAAGGGCUGGCUUCAUGGAAACAAGCUCUGAGUAGUAGGGCAGGGUUCUGUCAAAGAAUCCCCAGACAACCCCCAUUUUGAGUUUACAGUAUUCCUUUAUUUUUGGAUUUUUUAAAACUCUGGAAGAGGUGGAACUUAAGUGUGCCUUGUUCAGAGGGCCAAAGCAUCACUAUACUGGACCUGUGAGAAGUGGAGACCCUGUGACAAGGGUCUCUCAUUUUCAAGACACUGAUGAUGAUGAUGAUAAUCCUGAGGCUUGUAGCCCACAGGAGAUUGAACCUUUGUUGAGCACUGCAGUCUAAAAGAUUAUCAAGAAUCAAUACACCAGUUCAUCAGUAAGACUACAGACUGGCAAUGUUCUCUUGCCUGAACUUUUCUAAAGGCUUGUCUAUGCAUGGAGUUAUUGCAUAUAUAUGUAUGUGGGUGUGUGUAUAAUAUUUCAUGGAUUAAGUUAAACAGGAACGAGACAUUC